UACGUAGGGGGCAAGCGUUGUCCGGAAUCAUUGGGCGUAAAGCGCGCGUAGGCGGCCCGGUAAGUCCGCUGUAAAAGUCCAGGGCUCAACCCUGGAAAGCCGGUGGAUACUGUCGGGCUAGAGUCCGGAAGAGGCGAGUGGAAUUCCUGGUGUAGCGGUGGAAUGCGCAGAUAUCAGGAGGAACACCGAUGGCGAAGGCAGCUCGCUGGGACGGUACUGACGCUGAUGCGCGAAAGCUAGGGGAGCGAACGGG
rnacentral:rRNA from 1 species